rnacentral:rRNA from 1 species
AGAGUUAAACAGUACGUGAAAUUGUUGAAAGGGAAACGAUUGAAGUCAGUCGUACCAGCGGGAAAUCAACCUUUCGAGUGGGGGUUUUGGAGUUUUGAAGAGUGUCAAAACCUUUGAGAUUUCAAAAUUUUCGCUCCUUUGGUGUACUUUCUCGUGGGUAGGUUAACAUCGAUUUCGAUCAUCAUAAAAGGAUUGGAGGAAUGUAGCUUCGAUCUUGUAUUGAAGUGUUAUAGCCUUUGGUAAAUGUGAUGAUUGGGAUCGAGGAUUGCAACGAAUACCCUUUUGGGCUAUCCGCCUGAUCUCUGAUACGUGGCCUUGGCAUCGAAAGCUUGCUUAUGGUAUCAAGGUAUUACGGUCAAAAGGUUAGAACGGAUUACAUUCGUUAAGGAUGUUGACGUAAUGGCUUUAAACGACC